GGGAGACCUGAACUGAAUUCCUAGCUCCUGGCGGUAGUUCAGCCAGGUCCUGGAUGUUGCAGGCAUCCGAGCAGUGAUCCAGCGGUGUUCACAUUGUUUCCUGCAAACUACAAUGAAGGUGAACAGAACUUGGCUGUCUAUCCCUUUUUCAGGCUGUAAGCCUCCAGGACUGUCAUACAACAGAACUUCAAGAUAUUUCAAUCUUAUUGUUAACCACUGCCAAAUCUGGAUACCCUACCUGCCUUGCCUGUCCUGAAGAAAACUCCAACAAAAGUUAUGGCCAGCUCCUGC